rnacentral:rRNA from 1 species
UGGGGAAUAUUGGACAAUGCGGGCAACCGUGAUCCAGCAAUGCCGCGUGAGUGAAGAAGGCCUUAGGGUUGUAAAGCUCUUUUACCAGGGAUGAUAAUGACAGUACCUGGAGAAUAAGCCCCGGCUAACUCCGUGCCUGCAGCCGCGGUAAUACGGAGGGGGCUAGCGUUGUUCGGAAUUACUGGGCGUAAAGCGGGCGUAGGCGGCUUUUCAAGUCAGAGGUGAAAUCCCGGGGCUUAACCCCGGAACUGCCUUUGAAACUGAAUGGCUAGAAUCUUGGAGAGGUGAGUGGAAUUUCGAGUGUAGAGGUGAAAUUCGUAGAUAUUCGGAAGAACACCAGUGGCGAAGGCGACUCACUGGACCAGCAUUGACGCUGAGGUGCGAGAGCGUGGGGAGCGAACGGGAUUAGAUACCCCCGUAGUCC